rnacentral:rRNA from 1 species
AUUGAACGCUGGCGGCAGGCCUAACACAUGCAAGUCGAGCGGAGCGGCGGACGGGUGAGUAAUGCCUAGGAAUCUGCCUGGUAGUGGGGGAUAACGUCCGGAAACGGGCGCUAAUACCGCAUACUAUCAGAUGAGCCUAGGUCGGAUUAGCUAGUGGGUGGGGUAAAGGCCUACAAAGGCGACGAUCCGUAACUGGUUGGAGGGGAGGAUCAGUCACACUGGAAGUGAGACAGGCGCCAAACUCCAACGGGAGGAAGCAGUGGGGAAUAUUGGACAAUGGGCGAAAGCCUGAUGCAGAACUGCCGCGUGUUUGAGGAAGGUUUUCGGAUUGUAAAGUACGUUAAGUUGGAAGACGUUACCUACAGAAUAAGCACCGGCUAACUUCGUGCCAGCAGCCGCGGUAAUUC